ACCCGCACAAGCAGCGGAGCAUGUGGUUUAAUUCGAAGCAACGCGAAGAACCUUACCAGAUCUUGACAUCCAAUUGACCAUCUUUUAAUCGAGAUUUUGCCUUCGGGUACAAUUGAGACAGGUGGUGCAUGGUUGUCGUCAGCUCGUGUCGUGAGAUGUUGGGUUAAGUCCCGCAACGAGCGCAACCCUUGUGUUUAGUUGCAAAUAGGUCAAGCUGUGCACUCUAGACAGACUGCCGUGGACAACACGGAGGAAGGUGGGGAUGACGUCAAAUCAUCAUGCCCCUUAUGAUCUGGGCUACACACGUGCUACAAUGGCCGGUACAACGGGCAGCGAAGGAGCGAUCCGGAGCGAAUCCUAAAAAGCCGGUCCCAGUUCGGAUUGCAGGCUGAAACUCGCCUACAUGAAGUUGGAGUUGCUAGUAAUCGCGAAUCAGAAUGUCGCGGUGAAUGCGUUCCCGGGUCUU
rnacentral:rRNA from 1 species